AGCUCCAAUAGCGUAUAUUAAAGUUGUUGCAGUUAAAAUACUCGUAGUUGGAUUUCUGGUGGGAGGGAUCGGUCCAGCACUCUGUGUGGGAACUUUUAUCCUCUCCGGCCAUCCUUGGGUGGAUCUUGUCUGGCAUUAAGUUGUCAGUCAGGGGAUGCCCAUCGUUUACUGUGAAAAAAUACAGUGUUCAAAGCAGGCUUAUGCCAUUGAAUAUAUUAGCAUGAAAUAAUAAGAUAGAGCCCUGGUACUAUUUUGUUGUUUGCGUACCGAGGUAAUAAUGAAUAGGGACAGUUGGGGGUAUUUGUAUUCAGUAUUCAGUGGUGAAAUACUUAGACCUACGGAAGACAAACUACUGCAAAAGUAUUUACCAAGGAUGUUUUCA
rnacentral:rRNA from 1 species